rnacentral:rRNA from 1 species
UACGUAGGGGGCAAGCGUUGUCCGGAAUCAUUGGGCGUAAAGCGCGUGUAGGCGGCUUGGUAAGUCCGCUCUGAAAGCCCGGGGCUCAACCCCGGGAGGCGGGUGGAUACUGUCAAGCUCGAGUCCGGAAGAGGCGAGUGGAAUUCCUGGUGUAGCGGUGAAAUGCGCAGAUAUCGAGAGGAACACCUGCGGCGAAGGCGGGUUGCUGGGCUGACACUGACGCUGAUGUGCGAAAGCUAGGGGAGCGAACGGG